CCAAACACGUCCUAAGUAUCAUCAAUUUCUAAUGCCCACGUAUAUCAAAAAGGACUUCCAUGAUGUAGAAGUUUCCCUCGAAAGGAAACACACAAAUCGUGUGAUAGGAAAAUGGGACCCACCAAAGAAUCACGGCUCAUCCCAAGCUUCCACUGCGUACGAAGACGAAGGCCGAUGUCCGGCUUAUGCUCCACCACGCCGAUGCGCCGCUCCCGCAUCCGCCUCCACCUCUGCCGCUCUUCCUCCUCCACCUCCACGUCGCAGUCCUGGCGCUCUUGGUCUCUGCACGCUGCAUUUGCCGUGGCCACGGAGUGGGUCUGCGCUGGGACGCUUAGCCCGGAAGACGCACACCACCUGUUCGACGAAUUGCUACGGCAGGCGAUCCCGGUCCUGGGGCGCUCCCUGAACGGCUUCCUUGCCGCCCUCGCCCGUGCGCCAGAUUCUUUUGCCUGCAGUGAUGGCCCCGCCCUCGCCCUCGCCGUCUUCAACCGCGUCUCCUGAGAAGAAGCCGGCCUGCAGGUGGCCACGCCCACGAUCUGCACCUACGGCGUCCUCAUGGACUGCUGCUGUCGCGCCCUUCGUCCGGACCUUGAGCUUGCCUUCUUCGGCCGCCUCCUCAGGACCGGCCUGAAGACAGACCAGGUCGUCGCGGAUGAUGGCGAAAGAAGGAGGUCUCCGUUCCCCUGACGUGGUCACAUAUAGCACAGUCAUCCAUGGCUUCUUUAAGGAAGGCAAAAUAGGCAAGGCCUGCACUCUAUUCCAUGAAAUGAUGCAACAAGGUGUUGAGCUUGAUGUGGUGACGUAUAGCUCGAUUAUUGAUGCGCUGUGCAAGGAUGGAGCAAUGGGCAAGGCAGAGUUGUUCCUUUGGCAGAUGGUUGAUAACGGUGUUCGACCGGAUAAAGUGACAUAUACUGUAAUGAUCCAUGGAUACUCCACUUUGGGCCAGUGGAAAAAGGUGACUCAAAUGUUUAGAGAAAUGACAAGCCGGGGUCUUGUACCAAAUACUGUCACUUGGAACUUGUUCAUGGCCUCCCUUUGCAAGCAUGGAAGAAGCAAAGAGGCUGCAGAUACUUUUUAUUCCAUGGUUGCGAUAUGGUCUCGUAUUCUAUUCUGCUUCACAGGUAUGCUACAGAAGGAUGCUUUGCUGAUAUGAUUAAUCUCUUUAAUUUUAUGGCAAGCAAUGGUAUUACACCCAAUCGCCAGAUUUUCAACAUUUUAGUUGAUGCAUAUACUAAACGUGGAAUGGUGGACGAAGCUAUGCUCAUAUUUACUGAAAUGCAAGGACAGGGGGUGAGUCCGGAUGUAGUCCCCUAUGCAAUUGUAAUAGCUGCAUUUUGUAGAACGGGUAGGAUGGAUGAUGCCAUGGAUAAAGUCAAUCAGAUGAUUGGUAAGGGAGUACAACCAAACACAGUUGUUUAUCAUUCCCUAAUUCAGGGUUUUUGUACGCAUGGUGAUUUGGGGAAAGUGAAGGAGUUGGUUUCUGAAAUGACAAACAAAGGUAUUCCUCCUCCUAACUGUGUGUUCUUCAGUUCAAUAAUAAGUAGUCUAUGAAAAGAAGGAAGGGUUAAAGAUGCACAAGAUAUCUUCAACUUGGUUGUAGAAAUAGGUGAGAGUCCUGAUGUCACUACAUUUACUUCACUAAUUGACGGAUAUUGCUUAGUUGGCGAGAUGGAAAAAGCUUUGAGAGUACUUGAUGACAUGGCAUCCGCUGGCAUUGAGCCUAAUGUUGUUACAUAUGGUACACUUGUUGACGACUACUGUAGAAGUGGAAGGAUUGAUGAUGGGUUGAUGCUAUUCAGAGAAAUGUUGCAUAAGAGAGUUGAACCUACAACUGUUACCUAUAACAUCAUACUGAAUGGGUUAUUUCAUGCUGGGAGAACGGUUGCUGCAAAGAUGUUCCAUGAGAUGAUCAAAAGUGGAAUAACAGUGAGCAUUUCCACAUACAGGAUAAUCCAUGGAGGACUUUGCAGGAAUAGUCAUGCUGACGAAGCGAUCACCCUGUUCCAGAAAUUAGGAGCAAUGGAUGUGAAGUUGGAUGUUACAAUACUCAAUACCAUGAUCAAUGAAAUGUUCAAGGUUCAGAGAAGAGAAGAAGCUAACGAUUUGUUUGCUGCAAUAUCUGCCAGUGGAUUGGUACCUAAUGCUUCUACUUAUGGCAAAAAUAUACAAAAUCUUCUAGAAGAAGGAUCAUUGGAAGAAGCUGACGAUAUGUUUUCAUCAAUGGAGAAGAGUGGUUGUGCUCCCAGUUCUUGUCUUUUAAAUUUUAUCAUCAGAACGUUAUUGGAAAAGGGGGAGAUAGUCAAGGCUGGAAAUUAUCUCUACUCAUAUAAAAAGCACACUUGGUGGUGAUGGUGUGCCUGCCAUCUAGCAAUUCCGACCGUCCGAUCGACGUCUAACGCAUCAAAAGUGAUGUUGGCACUUUAGCAAAGAGACGCCCGCUAGUCUCCCUCUUCCAGACCGAUCCAGAUCCAUCCACAUCCAAUGCCUCGUCUCUACAGCGGGAGCCACCACCACCACAAUCUCCCCUCCACCGCCUCCUUUCCCGUCUCCGACACUGCUAACAACCAGAAGUACGGUGCCAACGUCGUCGGUUCCUCAACGCCUCCCAUGCCUCCUCCUCUACCGCAGCAGUCCGCCACCUACCAUCACACCAGCUCCCCCCUCCUCCUCACCGUCUCCUCCAGCCCCCUCCCCCAUCUCCUCCGAUGCCACCCGCUACAAGUGCGUUGACGGCUGCGCGCUGCUAAUCCACGGCGGCGGUGCCAUCAAAUACUACCGAUUCACCUCGCCGUCGGCCAUCCCUGCCACCCCGCUCAUGUGCUCGUCAGCAAGGUGAAGCGGCCGGAGAUUUGGGCCAACAUUGAUGACCGAGAUAGGGCCAUGCCGAGCUGCGAACCAGCAGCGAGGAGGCUCCUCCGGCACUCGCGGCAUACACGACACAGGGCGAGCGACGUACACGGCGAGUCGGCUCCCCUGGCGCUUGAUUCAACGGCAGCGUACACAGCGGUUGGCGGCCCUCACUAUCACUGCCGACCUGCAGCGUGUCAUCGGAAGCUAGCAGCACCGCGUUCGCUCACGGGCACCAUCGGCGGCGUCGACGCGUGCGUCCGGCCGCGUGAGCUGCAGGUGGAUAGCAGGAGCGAGAGCAUGCUUUGCUUCUGAAAAUGGUCCACAAGUUCUUGAAUCAAUGCAAUAUCCCAUGGGUACAUUUGAUCUGGGAAUCUUAUUACCAGAAUAGCCUGCCCCCUGGUGAGAAUGCCCAAUGCUCAUUUUGGUGGAAGGAUUGUCUGAAGCUGCUGGACACCUACAAGUUACAUUCUUCCUGUACUCCUGGUUCAGGCAAGUCAAUCUUGUUUUGGAAGGAUAAUUGGGCUGGGAAUACAUUGAAUUCUCAAUGGCCACAGCUGGCCUCCUUUGCCCUGAAUCCUCACAUGUCUCUGCAUCAGAUCAUCAAUACUGAGGACACUUCAUCACUAUUUCAUUUACCUUUUUCAGUGGAAGCCUUCGAACAAUAUCAGGAGAUGCUUGGUCUGCUGCAAAACUUCCCCAUUCUGGAUCAAAAUGAUACUUGGCGAUUCCCUUCCGGUGUAACGUCCUAUGCUGUGUCAAAUACAUACAUAAUUCUUAUGGGGGAAUUUCAUACCAUCCCUGCCAUCUCCUGGUUAUGGAAAGCUAAUUGCUCUUAGUUGAAGCACAAGAUUUUCUUCUGGCUUCUCAUCAAUGACAGACUAAAUACUAGAGGGAUGCUCCUGAGGAAGAGUUUCUUCAUUGACGACUACUCUAGGCACACCCUACUGAACUGAUACCAGUGACCCAUGUUCAUCAAAUUGAUCUACACUCUUCUGUAUGGGAGCUUGGACGAAAGGAUUUAUCAUUUGGAAACAUUAUGUUUGAUUGUGCUCUUUAUAUACCCAUCGACAAUAUAACAUCA